GGGCCCGUGGCGAAACCGGCAGACGCGGCGGACUUAAAAUCCGCUCUGGAGCAAUCCAGGUGGGGGUUCGAGUCCCCCCGGGCCCA
rnacentral:tRNA from 1 species